CCAAGAAGGCGGUAUCUCUCAAAAGCCUCUGGUGUCACGUACUCAGCUACAGCCAUGUGACGCUUAGACGGCCGCAUAUACUGGCCGAACGUCAUAACAUCAACCCCCGCCGCUCUCACUUUCUCCAUAGUCUUGACCACUUGAUCAGGAGUCUCCCCACAUCCCAGAACAUCACCCCCCGCCGCUCUCACUUUCUCCAUAGUCUUGACCACUUGAUCAGGAGUCUCCCCACAUCCCAGCAUCACCGACGUCUUCGUCAAGGUCCCUGCAGGCGCAUGCUGCUUAGCCAUCCUAAGCACAUCCAUCGACUGCUUAAAGUUAGCACGGUGAUCCCUCACAAAGCUCUGAAGCUCCUCAACCGUCUCAAUAUUGUGCGCAAA
rnacentral:lncRNA from 1 species